ACUUUUCAAAGUUUACGUUUAACUUCAUAAAGUAUGCAUCCGUACAACAUUAUCGUUAUGUUUUUGGCUGCUCUUAAGCUUAACUGCAUUUGCUCGGGAGCUAAUGUGACAGCGAACUUAGUUUGGAAACAGCACAAUAAAUAUAGAAGACUAGCGGGCAUGCCAAAAUUAUCCUCGUCUAAAAAGCUAAGUAAAGAUUGCGAAGAUUAUGCAAAGCAUCUAGUUACACUGAAUAUCCCAGAUCAAGAAUUAUUCUGGAUCGAUAAACCAUUACCAAUAAAUAUUACGUAUUUUUUGCCUGACGUCGAGGAUCACAUAGCUUAUCCCUUUUCGGAUAAAAAUAAAAUAUAUUGUACAGAAAGUAUAUGUGAGUUUAAAUCUGUAUCUUGUGUUGGCCGUUGGUAUUAUGAAGGAAGGACUGCAUAUAGACUUUCGAAAUAACCACCAUCACUAGCACCAUCGUGGGCUGACAAAUACACUGCACUCGUAUGGAGGUCAUCAAAAAAAUUGGGAGUGGGUAUAGUCCAAAAAAACACAGCGAAAGAAAAUGGAAGGAAAAUAUUGGUCGUUAGGUAUUCUCCACCCGGAAAUGUGGUUGGGAAGUAUAAGGAAAAUAUACCAGCACAAGAAUUUGAAUA